GGAACAGCUGUGGCCUGUACGGUGAUCAGACCUGGAGAGGAGAGACAGCUGGUCCAACCAGUGUAGAUUUGCCCUGCGUCUGAAUGGGGCUCUGUAAUAAUCUCGCCUCGCCUCAUUGUGCCGGCCUCCACCUGUUUUUGGAUCAGGUGAGGCUGGAGAACAUCGCAGCGAGCACCGGAUCCCCUCGGGGACGUCUGCUCUGCCCGCCGCUCGUCUCUCUUCACCUCAGGAGACUCGUCUGAAGUUUGCAGCCGACACGUGUCCACCUCGUCUGGGACAGAAGGGAAGAGACGAGGUGUUGGUUCAGAAACACCGUCAUCCCACCUCCGGUCCCUCCGCUCCGUCUGAAGCUCCACUCUCAGGCUCCAGACUGGACAAAGAUGGCUGCCGAGCAGUAACACGACCUGCGGACGGCCUUCAGACGCCCGAGAACGACCACGCGGACUCCUUUGUGUAUUAUUUAUUGUGUGAAACAGACACAGUAGCUUUAAGAGGCGCACUGGCUCGUAAUAAUCAUUCACAGUCAUAUCUCUACUUCUAUAUUUAUUCAUUUGGCCUCACGGAGGAGCGCUCAGCAUCCGCUCACACCACCUGACUCACAGCCACACCUGCCUCCAUCACACAGGGCUGAUAACGUCUCAGCUGAUGGGACACCACAGGCUUCAACUUUCCCAUACUCGCCUACUUAUGAUGUUCAGAGGAAAUCUUCUCUGACCAGCGAGUCCAGAUCUCUGCCGGCUUUACUAGACUCCAGGUAGUCCGCUGCAGAGGUGGAGAGGUGGGGAGUGGUGGGCUCCCUGAUCUGUGUGACUCAGGCAGAUUAGAGGCGAGCCGCAGAGUUCAGUCAUGUUGUCUUUGUCCAUAAAACACAGUUUGCUCUUCUUCUUCUUCUUCUGAGUCUGGGAUCCCUGACUCAUGCAGCGGCUCUUUAGGAUUCAGCCUGACGGUGGGCAGCGAGGUUCAAAGUAAAGAGCUGCGAGUGUUUGAAGUGAAUAAAAUAAAGCAGAGACAUUUUGACUGAAGGAUUCUCUGAAGCAGAACGUCGACACAUUCAUGGAAGAGGUUUGUUUUGACUGAAUAAAUUUGGGGUACAUUUCACAGAGACUGUUUGCUUGCAGCUGUGAAAAACCACCGCACAGUUUCUUGGCUUAUUGUGCGUCUGAAAGUGGUUUUGUUUCACAAAGUAAACCUUAUCUUUAAUUAAAGGACCUCAAAGGCUGA